UGCUUUAAGUCCUUUUUGUAAACUUGGGAAUGUAUCCACGGAAAGGAUUUUUCAUAGACGGAAUUUCCAGAAGUGAAUCAUAACUACUGUUAGAACAAGCAUGCAUGAUUGUGCUGUGUAGAUCAGUUUUGUUGAAAGUUUAGAUUGUUGUGUUUGUCAAUUAUAAUUUAAUGUUUCAGUUUUUAUAUGAAAUGUUUUAAAUGUAUACCUUUUUAAAUACUUGAAGUUCCAAUAACUUAAAGCAUUGAAAUAUAAAAUGAGGUAAAAGGUGUUUUGAAUUUAGUAAAACUGUUAUUUAAUGCUUAAAACUUAAUUGAAUUGUAUAAUUCUCAACAUUAAGUUGCAUAGAUGUGUUCUUAAGUUGUUGAAUUCUUAAUGCAUCCUGUGUUCAGCAAGUUUUUUUUUUAAUAUAUGCUGUACCACGGGUGUGUUAAGAAUAGUUAUACUUUAUAAUAAUGGAACUUCAUAUUAUUGCAAUGCAUAUUUAAAGAGUACUUGUUGAAAGCAUACCAUUCACCUAAAGUUAAAAAUUCUGGUUUAUUUAAAGCUAUAAGAAGAAUCAUUUCUGGGCUUGUGAUGUUAAUAUUGCCCCCCUACUGGGGUUAUUUGUCCUUGGGUUGAAGGGUUGGAAAUCGUGCCAAAUGGGAUAACAUUGCCGGUGGACUUCCAGGGGAGGAGUACGGGGGAGGCCUUCGUGCAGUUUGCUUCACAGGAAAUAGCUGAAAAGGCUCUAAAGAAACACAAGGAAAGAAUAGGGCACAGGUGGGGAUGGAUGGUUGGUUGGAUAUGUCACUUUUCUUAUGGUAAACAAUUAAAUCCAUAUUCUCUCUGCUUAAAAGAAGAAAUUAAUGUUUUGUAGUCCUAGGUAAUUGAUGUUUUGCCAUGAUUUCCAAACUUUUCCUGUGUCAGUCCCAUGUUACACGCAAACUAAAUUUUAGGUUUAAAAUUGUCCCUAGUUAAUUGGUCUACUUGACAAUUUUGUGAGUCUUACUAACCCCAAUCAAUAGAGUUGAGAGACUAUGGCUUUAAAAAAUUAAUGCAAACCUGGCUUUAGCUGUAAUAACACCCACCUAGAGUAAAUUAAUGUUACCAUAAGAAAAUGUGAUACUUUCUGAUCUUGUUUUUAAAGUUGAAAUGCAACAAACUUUUUCUUGCUGUAUAUAAAUAUUCUGCAUAGUAUUAAUAAGCAUAGCUUUCAAGAAAUUGUCACAAAAGGUUUUAUUCUCUUUGCUUGUGACUAUUUUUCAUUGAAGCAUGCGCUUACCUAUGCUGAUUCUUACUAAAAGCAUAGGCUGGGGUAUUUAUUGGCGAAAGGAAAUGUGUAGUGUGGGCUAGACUGUUGGUGGAGGCUGGCUCUUUAGCCCACUUGCUAUACAUGCUGCCAAUGGAUUUAAGACUUGAAAUGUUGAAAGUUGAGUGGAAUUAUUUCCCUCCUAAAACAUUUAUUUACAGUACUCCUCUCUACCCCUAAGGUUUGGCUCUGCCUCAGAGGAGUGAGUCUUUUUUUUCUAUAAAGUUUACAUUGUCUUACUAUUUAUUGAGUGAAUUUCUGGUCAUUGCCUAUGCAAAUAUAAGAAAUCUGGCUUUAAAUAUUAGUCAGUUUCAUGGCUAUGACUAGAUUGUUUUCUUGUAUAACUAAAUACCUGUAUAAAAUGAACUAAUGUUUUCUCUCCCCUCCCUACCCCUUCCUUAUGAACAAUGCUUUAGGUAUAUUGAAAUCUUUAAGAGCAGUAGAGCUGAAGUUAGAACUCACUAUGAUCCACCACGAAAGCUUAUGGCCAUGCAGCGGCCAGGUCCCUAUGACAGACCUGGGGCUGGCAGAGGGUAUAACAGCAUUGGCAGAGGAGCUGGCUUUGAGAGGAUGAGGCGUGGUGCUUAUGGUGGAGGUACGUGAGGAUUCGCAAGGUUUGGCAAGUAGUCUGUUCCUUUGUCUAGGUGUUUUGAUUGAUUGUACUUUGUCUUUCAGGCUAUGGAGGCUAUGACGAUUACAAUGGCUAUAAUGAUGGCUAUGGAUUUGGGUCAGAUAGAUUUGGAAGAGGUAAGGUAAGAAUUGAAUUUCUCAGUUGAAGGAUGCUUACACUCUUGUCCAUCUAGACCUCAAUUACUGUUUUUCAGGAAUGUCUGAUCACAGAUACGGGGAUGGUGGCUCUACUUUCCAGAGCACAACAGGACACUGUGUACACAUGCGUGGAUUACCUUACAGAGCUACUGAGAAUGACAUUUAUAAUUUUUUUUCACCGCUCAAUCCUGUGAGAGUACACAUUGAAAUUGGUCCUGAUGGCAGAGUAACUGGUGAAGCAGAUGUCGAGUUCGCAACUCAUGAAGAUGCUGUGGCAGCUAUGUCAAAAGACAAAGCAAAUAUGCGUAAGUGUGAUUGAGCAUUUGUGGGCUCUUAACAGGUGAUUGUGUGACUAACAUUUACAAUAGAAAAAUGGAAAAAUAAGGAUAUAUGAGAAGUUUCCUCUCCAGUAAUAGAUUAAUUCUUGGGGGAUGGGCAGUGUGUUGAAGGUUUGGGUUUUAAAAAUUAGUAUAACAGAUUUGUGAUAUGCACAUCUUGAAGUGUAUAUCCUUAAUUGACAAUAUAGAUGAAUAUGUAAAGGCUAGAUUUUGGAGUUAAAGUAGAUCACCUAAGAGAAGUAGCUAGAAUUUUCUUUGCCAAAGUAUUUGAAGUUCACAGAUCUGCUUGUUUAAAAACUUUAUAAAAGUGCUUACUCUGUUUUGUUUCACCAACAAACAUUUUCAAACUUUUUUUUUCUCAUUUCAGAACACAGAUAUGUAGAACUCUUCUUGAAUUCUACAGCAGGAGCAAGCGGUGGUGCUUACGGUAGCCAAAUGCUAGGAGGCAUGGGUUUGUGUAAAUAUCACUUUAGUGUCUUUUUUUAAGCUAACCUUGUAUGCCUUUUCUCUCAUUUCAGAACACAGAUAUGUAGAACUCUUCUUGAAUUCUACAGCAGGAGCAAGCGGUGGUGCUUAUGGUAGCCAAAUGAUGGGAGGCAUGGGCUUGUGUAAAUAUCGUUAGUUUUUUUAAAAACCAAAACGUUUAUAUCUGUAUAAGUCAAUUAUAAGUUAAGUUAAUCUAUUUAAUAAGUUUAGCAUAACAAACUUAGGCAAAGAAAGCAGUUUCUUGAUAUUUGAAUUUUGUAUCUGGCUUACUUAAAUCCUUGGGAGUUAUGAAGUUCCUUAGGAUAGAUAAUUCAAAUUAGAUUUAAGUACUCUUGGGGGAGGGGACUACGGAGUGAAACUACUUAAAUUUUCUAAGUAUAAAGUUUAAAUCUAAAAUAGCAAAACAGGAUUAAGAUAAAUGUGGGCAUAAUUAGGUGUAUUGACAUCCUUUGAUGUAUCAAACUAAGGGGGAACCCCACUAAAUCCAGUCAAGCAGUUUCAUGAGAUCUUCACAAAAUGCCUCUACUUAUGGAAUCGUUGAUUUUAGUCCUGCUGAUGUGUAUACCGUUAGCACUUUGGUUUAUCAAUAUUUGACUAGCUCAAAUGAUGGAUAGAAGGGUAGCCUGGUUAUAGACAGUAGGCAGGAGGAGGCAGAGGGUUAUAGUAAUGUAAGAUCAAGACUGGAAAAUCAUAGAUAUAGAAUUACAAGCCCGGUACCACCAGGUACCACAUUACAUAAGAAAAAAGGUUCUAAUGUUUUCUUAACUUAACAGCAAACCAGUCCAGUUACGGGGGCCCAGCCAGCCAGCAGCUGAGUGGUGGUUAUGGAGGCGGCUAUGGUGGCCAGAGCAGCAUGAGUGGAUACGGUAAGCCUGUUUUUUUAAAUAUACUUAGAAUAAGUUUUAGGCAGGUUUCUUUAGUUGGGAAGAUGCAGGCUCCUUUUUGGUGAAAUUGGGUUAUUAAAUGUAUGCUUUCAAUCCAAAUGUAACUUUUUACUAGCUAAUUUUCAGAAACAAUCAUUGGGAGGGGGAAGUGUUCUUUGAAUUAAGAACUAGUCAUUGCAGCUUUGGAAUACUGUCGAGCCAGAAAAUAUCUGCCUCCAUUUAUUAAAACAUUAAAUAAAGUUGUUCACUUUUUUGUCUUUUGGUUAGCAUUAAGUCAAUUUUAGGUGGAGGGAGAAUUUGAAAUAGAAUGGUGGUUGGGUUCAGGACCGUAUUUAUUAGUUAACCUAGGAUUGGUUUUAUUUAUUUUUUUCAAUUGGUCUAAAGAAUGGUGAUUUUGGUAUUAUAGUCUUACCCUACAAAAUCCUUUUGCAGACCAAGUUUUACAGGAAAACUCCAGUGAUUUUCAAUCAAACAUUGCAUAGGUAAAUAUUUUCUCAAAAAAUAUAAAUUCCCAAUAGCAAAUACUGAUAUGUUGUAAUAAUACUUUCUAUAGCAGUCAAUGGCUCUGACUUAACUCCAUGGAGGCUGCCAUUGGGCACAGUGAGUUGCCUUUAGUCCAGCUUGGUUGUCUCACUUCCUGCCCACCGUGAGUAGGAAAAGCAAGAGACUCCCCUGUGCUCCCUUUUCUCAAAUGCCAUUCGAGGGACACAUUGUGAAUGUUGAUGGUAAAUUUCUUUUAAAAAUGCCUUGUUUAGCUUUAAAAAUACGAAGUAAUUUUGCAAUUUUUGAAAAACACUAGUUUUCCUUUAAACUUAAUUUUUCAUGUUGAUCCUGAAGAAUCCGUUAAAAUGGUAGCACAAGAGUCUGGCAAGUUGGUACUGCAGAGAAAAGGGGUUAAUUGAGGCUUGUUUGGAGUCGGGAUUCCCCUUUCCCAAACAUGCGGCUCGCCACUUGGACAGCAGCCAUUUGUACUCGUAUACUUUUUCCACUUUUUCUUGGAAUACUAUAUUUUAUUUGACUGGUAGUCUGAAACGCCUCCUAACUUGUCAAAUUGAUCUCUUUGCAGGUAACCAAGGAGCAAUGAACAGCAGCUACUACAGUAGUGGAAGCCGUGCAUCUGUGGGCGUGAACGGAAUGGGAGGGAUGUCUAGCAUGUCCAGUAUGAGUGGUGGAUGGGGAAUGUAAUUGAUCGAUCCUGAUCACUGAUUCUUGGUCAACCUUUUUUUUUUUUUUUUUUUUUUUUUAAAGAAAAAAACUUCAGUUUAACAGUUUCUGCAAUACAAGCUUGUCAUUUAUGCUUACUCUAAGUGGAAAUCAGGAUUGUUAUGAAGACUUAAGGCCCAGUAUUUUUGAAUACAAUACUCAUCUAGGAUGUAACAGUGAAGCUGAGUAAACUGUAACUGUUAAACUUAAGUUCCAGCUUUUCUCAAGUUAGUUAUAGGAUGUACUUAAGCAGUAAGCGUAUUUAGGUAAAAGCAGUUGAAUUAUGUUAAAUGUUGCCCUUUGCCACGUUACAUUGAACACUGUUUGGAUGCAUGUUGAAAGACAUGCUUUUAUUUUUUUGUAAAACAAUAUAGGAGCUGUGUCUACUAUUAAAAGUGAAACAUUUUGGCAUGUUUGUUAAUUCUAGUUUCAUUUAAUAACUUGUAAGGCACGUAAGUUUAAGCUUUUUUUUUUUUUUUUUUUUUUUUUAAAGUUAAUGGGAAAAAUUUGAGACGCAAUACCAAUACUUAGGAUUUUGGUCUUGGUGUUUGUAUGAAAUUCUGAGGCCUUGAUUUAAAUCUUUCAUUGUAUUGUGAUUUCCUUUUAGGUAUAUUGCUAAGUGAAACUUGUCAAAUAAAUCCUCCUUUUAAAAACUG
rnacentral:sRNA from 1 species